AUUGAACGCUGGCGGCAUGCUUUACACAUGCAAGUCGAACGGUAACAGGCCGCAAGGUGCUGACGAGUGGCGAACGGGUGAGUAAUGCAUCGGAACGUGCCCAGUCGUGGGGGAUAACGCAGCGAAAGCUGCGCUAAUACCGAAUACGAACUAUGGAUGAAAGCGGGGGACCGUAAGGCCUCGCGCGCUUGGAGCGGCCGAUGUCAGAUUAGGGAGUUGGUGGGGUAAAGGCUCACCAAGCCAACGAUCUGUAGCUGGUCUGAGAGGACGACCAGCCACACUGGGACUGAGACACGGCCCAGACUCCUACGGGAGGCAGCAGUGGGGAAUUUUGGACAAUGGGCGCAAGCCUGAUCCAGCAAUGCCGCGUGCAGGAAGAAGGCCUUCGGGUUGUAAACUGCUUUUGUCAGGGAAGAAAUCCUCUGGGCUAAUACCUCGGGGGGAUGACGGUACCUGAAGAAUAAGCACCGGCUAACUACGUGCCAGCCGCCGCCGUAACAC
rnacentral:rRNA from 1 species